GAUUAACGCGAAGAACCUUACCUGGGGUUGACAUGGCGCUAGUACUGUCUGGAAACAGACGGGACCGCAAGGAGGCGUCACAGGUGCUGCAUGGCUGUCGUCAGCUCGUGCCGUGAGGUGUUAGGUUAAGUCCUGUAACGAGCGCAACCCUCGGCUCCAGUUACACGGUGUCUGGAGCGACUGCCCGCGACAAGCGGGAGGAAGGCGGGGAUGAUGUCAAGUCAGCAUGGCCUUUAUCUCCAGGGCUACACACACGCUACAAUGGUCGGUACAAUGGGUCGCCAAGCCGCAAGGCGGAGCCAAUCCAGACAAAGCCGGCCUCAGUUCAGAUUGCGGGCUGCAACCCGCCCGCAUGAAGUCGGAGUUGCUAGUAACCGCCGGUCAGCUAUACGGCGGUGAAUACGUUCCCGGGCCUAAUCACUAGU
rnacentral:rRNA from 1 species